rnacentral:rRNA from 1 species
UAAACGACUCUCGGCAACGGAUAUCUCGGCUCUCGCAUCGAUGAAGAACGUAGCGAAAUGCGAUACUUGGUGUGAAUUGCAGAAUCCCGUGAACCAUCGAGUUUUUGAACGCAAGUUGCGCCCGAANCCAUUAGGUUGAGGGCACGUCUGCCUGGGCGUCUCAC